rnacentral:rRNA from 1 species
UACGUAGGGUGCAAGCGUUGUCCGGAAUUAUUGGGCGUAAAGAGCUCGUAGGCGGUUUGUCGCGUCUGCUGUGAAAACCCGAGGCUCAACCUCGGGCCUGCAGUGGGUACGGGCAGACUAGAGUGCGGUAGGGGAGAUUGGAAUUCCUGGUGUAGCGGUGGAAUGCGCAGAUAUCUGGAGGAACACCGGUGGCGAAGGCGGCAUCCUGGGCCGGUAUUGACGCUGAGGAGCGAAAGCCAGGGGAGCAAACGGG